CCUGGAUCUAGCCGUCCCGCUCACAUUGCUUUGAAGUAAUCAACACCAUACUGCAUCCAGUCAUCGUGGAAUGUCUCUUCCAGCACUACUGCUACACCAAAGGAGGGAUGCGUCACUCAUCCUACACCUGCAUCUGGGGAACGUAGGACAUUUAAAAAUGCUGCUCCAGUGCCCUUAAGCAAGGGGUGAAGUGGGCUGACAUGCACCUGCUGGCGGACCGAACCCACCUGGAGGAGCUGCUGAAGCUGGGCAUCCUGAAGGGCACCGUGGAGGACAUGAUGGGGGUCCGCCUGGGAGCCGUCUUCAUGCCCCACGGCCUGGGCCACCUGCUGGGCUGCGACGUGCACGAUGUCGGGGGGUACCUGGAGUUAGGUUGGCUACCAGACCUGUUUGCAUUCAAUUUGACCGUAAAAGGGGACAAAGGAAAACAUUGAAGGU